rnacentral:ncRNA from 1 species
GCAGAGUAGAAUUUUGCGCGUUAAGUGCUGCAUGAACAGGGAGUUGUCAUGCGGACGAAAAGCAGAUGCUUGCGGUGCAGAAUUCGCAUCCCGCUGC